AGCUGAAUUACCGAACUUGGAUCCAGCCAGUACAGCUGUAGGAAAGAUCUUUUCCCUCCGUCUUUUAAAAAAAAAUAGAGCUUCCAGACAAAAAUCAACACAUGAAUGUUUGUGAAAACGGAAUCUCCUUGUUAUCUUGAAAUGGAAUUCUGGGUGAGCUGAAGGGAAUGCUAGAAGAAUACAAAGAUGAUCAACUGAUUGUAUGAAUACAUUAAUCAGGAAACUGGCUACAGCAACUGCUUACUAAUUGUUACCUGACUGUUCAAAUCUGUCCAUAUUAUGUUAACUCCUGUGGUCUACCGGUUAAUUAGAUUUGCACAUAUUAAUGACAGACCACUGAGUUUGGAUUGCCUUCCUCAAGCAUUUUGAAAAGUUAAAGUCAUCACAGGAGUGAAACUUGUUCACCUUUCAUAAUUUCUAAAUUCCUAAUUUCUCAACAAAAGACUUUUCU